UGUAAACUGCCACCGGGUAGGAAUGCAUUAAGCAUUCGUCACACAUCGUUAGGUCUUAGAAGAUGUGUGAGCGAAUGCUUUUUUAUU
rnacentral:ncRNA from 1 species